GACCAAGGAGUCUAACAUGUGCGCGAGUCGUAGGGUUACGCUCAAAGCCCGAAGGCGCAAUGAAAGUGAAGGUCGGCCUCGAUUGCCGUUACCUAGGCGGGAUCCGUUCGGGCUUACCGGUCGUUCGCGGCUGAGCCCGGCGGCGCACCGCCGGCCCGUCUCGACCGCAUCGCCGGUGAGGCGGAGCGAGAGCGUACACGUUGGGACCCGAAAGAUGGUGAACUAUGCCCGGGCAGGACGAAGCCAGAGGAAACUCUGGUGGAGGUCCGUAGCGAUUCUGACGUGCAAAUCGAUCGUCGGACCUGGUAU
rnacentral:rRNA from 1 species